AAUUCUCAAAACCCUUUUUCUUUUCGAGGAAGGGUUUUGGAUUUGGAGGCCUUUUGCCGGUUUCAAGUUGAAGCCGGCUCCUCCUAAAUGAAUUAGUGGGGUUUGCAUUGUCGAUCCUUGACGUGAUAAGAUGUUUCUGCGUCUUGGGUUUGGCACUGUUGCCCGCUUCUAACCGUCUCAUUGACAACGAUGGUGCUCCGGUCGCCGCCUCUCCGUAGGUGGUUGGCUUGACCCACGACAAAA
rnacentral:misc_RNA from 1 species